ensembl:lncRNA
AAAAAUUUCAAGAUACGUAGUGUCAGCAGAAACAAGUUUCCAUAAAUAGCCGUUAAAGUUUAGUUGAUAAUAUGGCUAGGAUAACAUUAGAUUAGCUUAGUUAAGCUAAGACUGCUAGCAGGGAGGGAAAGGGGUUUGUCGAGAGUAAAGAGGACACUGUUCCUCCAAAAACUGACGUCAGACUCUGCAGCCAUGUUAGGAUCAACCAUAGUCUGUGGGAUCAACAGCUUGUUGCUCCCCAAACCCUGAACAUCUGUGCAGAGGGAGGAAAAGGGGAGGGGGCUGUGGGAGUGAUGGCAGGCCACAUGGGGAGGGCCUUUUCUCCCUCAGUCUGUCAGCCCACCUGACUGCUGCUAUGGCAGGCCUGCCCAAGGCAAGACCACAGGCUAAGGCCUCCUGUGGGCCUCCAGCAGGGCUCGGCAGCCUCCCCAAGCCCAUUAGAGCACCCCUCCUACCACCUCCACCCGAGCGGCC